ACUCCUGCGGGAGGCAGCAGUGGGGAAUUUUGGACAAUGGGCGAAAGCCUGAUCCAGCAAUGCCGCGUGAGUGAAGAAGGCCUUCGGGUUGUAAAGCUCUUUUGUCAGGGAAGAAACGGUGAAAGCUAAUAUCUUUUGCUAAUGACGGUACCUGAAGAAUAAGCACCGGCUAACUACGUGCCAGCAGCCGCGGUAAUACGUAGGGUGCAAGCGUUAAUCGGAAUUACUGGGCGUAAAGCGUGCGCAGGCGGUUUUGUAAGUCUGAUGUGAAAUCCCCGGGCUCAACCUGGGAAUUGCAUUGGAGACUGCAAGGCUAGAAUCUGGCAGAGGGGGGUAGAAUUCCACGUGUAGCAGUGAAAUGCGUAGAUAUGUGGAGGAACACCGAUGGCGAAGGCAGCCCCCUGGGUCAAGAUUGACGCUCAUGCACGAAAGCGUGGGGAGCAAACAGGAGUAGAUACCCCUGUAGUCCCAUG
rnacentral:rRNA from 1 species